AUAAUCCAUUUUUCACCCGGCAUAUUUAUUCUUUUUAUCAUAAUGACUUCGUUUCUAAUCCGUUUGGCUCUGGUAAAUUUGGGCGGGGACUUGCACAGUGGGUGGCUGGGUCCCUGCUAGCAGCUGCCAGCAGCCUCCUAGGAGUGAAGGGAAACUGUUCUCGUCCUUAAAAACCAUCAGCAUCCCUAGAAAAGAGGGCCCAACAGAGGGAGAAGCCAGAGGGCCCAGCUGGAGUACCUUCCAGAAGAAUUCGCAUCGGAGCCGAAGGGAAAUCUGCCCCCAGCAAGGGCCAUGGGGCCAUGAGCACACCCAUGGCUGGGGGGGGGGGGAGGGGCGGGUGCUGAAAUGGGACCUCUCUCCUCUGUGUCUAGAUAAGAGGCACAAAAGGUGAGCCAGGCCACCCAGAACACAUUUUCAGCACCAUGAGAACUGGCCUGGGGCAGGGCGGGACCCAAGCACAGUGACAGGCCCACAGCCGGCACGGGUCACCUCUCCUGCCCGGAGAGGCCACCGGCUGGAGCCGUCCCACCCCCUUCUCUCUGCCUCACUCCGAGGCUGUCCUGGGCCAGUGUGGACGCUGCAGUGUGGAGUGUCUGACGUUUAUGGGGCCGUCUGGGCAGGAGCGUGUCACCCCCGGGACGAGCGAGCUGACCCAGCUCGCCUGAGAGCCGCGGCAUGAAGGGCGGCAGCAGAGAGAACGUGGCGCACCUCCCUCUAACGGCCGUAAGUCCACGCCCACUUCCUCCAGCCGAACGGGGCCCGUGGCCCUCUGCCGACGGUCCCUCGGUUUUUAUUUCCAGAACACUGACAAUGGGUUGGAGCCUCAUUCUCCACAUCCUCCAGGUUGAAAUACCGAAGAGGAAGCCAUCCCAAGAGCUCCUGAGAGGCCGACGGCUUUGGGACAACGGGGGGAUUCUCCAAUAUCACAGGCAUCGCCACAUAAAACAAGAGUGUCGCCACCAGGCCACCGCAAAGCCGGCGCGGACCCAGGAACGUGUUCCCGUCCACUGGAGCCAAAGAGAAGGCACGGAAGAUUCCAGGCCGUAGAUGGAGGCGGGAAAGGCGCUGCCAAGGUCUUGGGGUCUCUGGGAGAGGGAGAGCUCGGCGGUGCUGCGUUUAUAACGCGAGUGGACAGAGCGCGUGGAGGCAUCAGAGAACAUGUCCUACGCCCUGGAGAGAGCCAGGGACCCAGCCCUGUUUCCAAGUGUUGUAUUUACUGGCUGUCAUGGGAAUGCAGUACAUUUACUCCUGCACCUCCCAGAAAACCUCAAAACUCCCCUCUGGGUCCUCACACGUUUAUGACGGACCAGCCACGUGCCAGCACGAGAAACCCCAAAAGAGUCCAUAUCAGAGCAGAAGGGGAAAUCUGCCCCCAGCCAGGGCCACGGGGCCACAAGCGCACCCACUGGGGGGGGGCUGAAAUGGGACCUCUCUCCUCUGUGUCUAGAUAGGAGGCACAAAAGGUGAGCCGGGCCACCCAGAACACAUUUUCAGCACCUCGUCACACCCCUCGCCGGCUGGUGGGUGGCCUGGCGGGGUCUGGCUAGCCGCCGGCAAUGCUGACUCGGGCCGGAGGGCGAGGAAGAGCCGGGCACACACAGGUCCCCAGUGUCGGGCCAACUCCAAGCUGCGAUGUGGCCUGGA
rnacentral:lncRNA from 1 species